rnacentral:snoRNA from 1 species
AUGAUCAUUAUUUAUAGGAUCACUUCUAUGCGAUUGCCGGGUUCUCGCCAAGAUUUCUCGGAAUAUAUUCAAUCACGAUGAGGGACUGUUAGUGUAAUCCUCUGAGCGGGAAGCGGUCUCAAGUUGUGCUUGAGAGUUUUGAUGACCGUUCUGACUCGGUUUACCGAUGUCAAGAGGAGGAUCACACAGGCUGAGUGGU